rnacentral:rRNA from 1 species
AUUGAACGCUGGCGGCAUGCCUUACACACGCAAGUCGAACGGCAGCACGGGUGCUUGCACCUGGUGGCGAGUGGCGAACGGGUGAGUAAUACAUCGGAACAUGUCCUGUAGUGGGGGAUAGCCCGGCGAAAGCCGGAUUAAUACCGCAUACGAUCUACGGAUGAAAGCGGGGGACCUUCGGGCCUCGCGCUAUAGGGUUGGCCGAUGGCUGAUUAGCUAGUUGGUGGGGUAAAGGCCUACCAAGGCGACGAUCAGUAGCUGGUCUGAGAGGACGACCAGCCACACUGGGACUGAGACACGGCCCAGACUCCUACGGGAGGCAGCAGUGGGGAAUUUUGGACAAUGGGCGAAAGCCUGAUCCAGCAAUGCCGCGUGUGUGAAGAAGGCCUUCGGGUUGUAAAGCACUUUUGUCCGGAAAGAAAUCCUUGGCCCUAAUACGGUCGGGGGAUGACGGUACCGGAAGAAUAAGCACCGGCUAACUACGUG